UACGAAGGGGGGCUAGCGUUGCUCGGAAUUACUGGGCGUAAAGGGCGCGUAGGCGGGUCGUUAAGUUGGGGGGUGAAAGCCCCAGGGCUCAACCCCUGGAAUUGCCUUCAAUACUGGCGACCUUGAGUAUGGCAGAGGUGUGUGGAACUCCGAGUGUAGAGGUGAAAUUCGUAGAUAUUCGGAAGAACACCAGUGGCGAAAGGCGACACACUGGG
rnacentral:rRNA from 1 species